AAUGCGCGNCCUAUCAUGCAAGUCGAACGAGGCCUUUUGUAUUCGUACGAAGGUGUCCUAGUGGCGAACGGGUGAGUAACACGUUGGUGAUCUGCCCCGAAGAGAGGGACAACCCCGGGAAACUGGGGCUAAUACCUCAUGUGCUCCAUGGUGUUAGAGGACCAUGGAGGAAAGGAGCAAUCCGCUUCGGGAGGAGCCUGCGGCCCAUCAGCUAGUUGGUAGGGUAACGGCCUACCAAGGCGACGACGGGUAGGGGGCCUGAGAGGGUGGUCCCCCACAAUGGCACUGAAACACGGGCCAUACACCUACGGGUGGCAGCAGUAGGGAAUAUUGCACAAUGGGCGAAAGCCUGAUGCAGCAACGCCGCGUGCGCGAUGAAGGCCUUCGGGUUGUAAAGCGCUUUUCUGGGGGAAGAGGAAGGACUGUACCCCAGGAAUAAGUCUCGGCUAACUACGUGCCAGCAGCCGCGGUAAAACGUAGGAGGCAAGCGUUAUCCGGAUUUACUGGGCGUAAAGCGCGUGUAGGCGGUAUGGUAAGUCGGACGUGAAAGCUCCUGGCUCAACUGGGAGAUGCCGUUCGAAACUACCAAACUUGAGGGCAGUAGAGGGAGGUGGAAUUCCAGGUGUAGCGGUGAAAUGCGUAGAUAUCUGGAGGAACACCAGUGGCGAAGGCGGCCUCCUGGACUGUCCCUGACGCUCAGACGCGAAAGCUAGGGGAGCGAACGGGAUUAGACACCCCGGUAGUCCUAGCUGUAAACGAUGCAGACUUGGUGUUGGUCGUUUAAAAACGAUCAGUGCCGAAGCUAACGCGUUAAGUCUGCCGCCUGAGGAUUACGACCGCAAGGUUAAAA
rnacentral:rRNA from 1 species